rnacentral:sRNA from 1 species
CUUUGCUGGACAAAGGGUGCGUGAAGC